rnacentral:tRNA from 1 species
GUUCCUUUCGUCUAGUGAUUAGGACAUUGCUUUUUCAGAGCGAGAACGUGAGUUUAAUUCUCACAAGGAAUA